rnacentral:rRNA from 1 species
UACAGAGGGUGCGAGCGUUAAUCGGAAUUACUGGGCGUAAAGCGCGCGUAGGUGGCUUUGCAAGUCGGAUGUGAAAUCCCCGGGCUCAACCUGGGAACUGCAUUCGAGACUGCAUGGCUAGAGUAUGGGAGAGGGAAGUGGAAUUUCAGGUGUAGCGGUGAAAUGCGUAGAUAUCUGAAGGAACAUCAGUGGCGAAAGCGACUUCCUGGACCAAUACUGACACUCAAGUGCGAAAGCGUGGGGAGCAAACAGG